AUCUUCAGACCUUUCGCUAUCAGAUGAGCCUGCGUGAGAUUAUCUAGGUGGGGGGGUAAAGGCUCACCAGGGCGACUAUCUCUAGGUGGUCUGAGAGGAUGAUCCCCCACACUGGGACUGACACGCCCCCCACACUCCUACGGGAGGCAGCAGGGGAGAAUAUUGGACAGGGGGCACACGCCUGAUCCACCCAUGCCGCGUGUGUGAAAAAGGCCUUCGGGUUGUAAAGCAUUUUCAAAGGUGAAGAAGGGUGCGUAUUUAAUACCUGCGUACUUUGACUUUAACCUCAAAAGAAGCCCCGGCUAACUCUGUGCCAGCCGCCGCGGUAAUACAGAGGGUGCGAGUGUUAAUCAGAAUUACUGGGCGUAAAGCGCGCGUAGGCGGUUUGUUAACUCAUAUGUGAACUCCCAGGGCUC
rnacentral:rRNA from 1 species